rnacentral:rRNA from 1 species
CUGGCUCAGGACGAACGCUGGCGGCGUGCUUAACACAUGCAAGUCGAGCGAGUGGAUUCCCUUCGGGGAUGAAGCUAGCGGCGGACGGGUGAGUAACACGUGGGCAACCUGCCUUAUAGAGGGGGAUAGCCUUCCGAAAGGAAGAUUAAUACCGCAUAACAUCAGAUUAUCGCAUGGUAGAC